rnacentral:rRNA from 1 species
GACGGAGGAUGCAAGUGUUAUCCGGAAUCACUGGGCGUAAAGCGUCUGUAGGUGGUUUAAUAAGUCAACUGUUAAAUCUUGAGGCUCAACCUCAAAAUCGCAGUCGAAACUAUUAGGCUAGAGUAUAGUAGGGGUAAAGGGGAAUUUCCAGUGGAGCGGUGAAAUGCGUAGAGAUUGGAAAGAACACCGAUGGCGAAGGCACUUUACUGGGCUAUUACUAACACUCAGAGACGAAAGCUAGGGUAGCAAAUGGG